UGUGGGAGUCAUAAAGCCACGGUAAAGGCUUGUAAUAUUGCAGGGUGCCCCCUGACCUCGGCUGACCAGCACUCUGAGCUUUACAAUGUAUUGGAAUGUAUUGACUUAAAUGCAGUUGUGUUUCCUCUGGGCAGUGAUGGACCCUAUAUGGUGUUGGGGGCAAUAAAAGCCUUGACCGGAUGAGGUAACGUGAGACAUUGGCAAACGGCCAUGCGGCUGGAGAGAGACAAAGGAUAAUAAAAGAGGCUGCAGGAGGAGAGGGAAGUUCGAAAGGAGCUGCUCAUACCAUCAUGAAAAUAUUGCUGGCUCUCUGUGUCUUUAUUUUAUGCUAAACUCCGCCACUUGUAACGGCUGGCUCCGACA